AGUGAACGCUGGCGGUAGGCCUAACACAUGCAAGUCGAACGGCAGCACAGUAAGAGCUUGCUCUUACGGGUGGCGAGUGGCGGACGGGUGAGGAAUACAUCGGAAUCUACUUUUUCGUGGGGGAUAACGUAGGGAAACUUACGCUAAUACCGCAUACGACCUACGGGUGAAAGCAGGGGAUCUUCGGACCUUGCGCGAUUGAAUGAGCCGAUGUCGGAUUAGCUAGUUGGCGGGGUAAAGGCCCACCAAGGCGACGAUCCGUAGCUGGUCUGAGAGGAUGAUCAGCCACACUGGAACUGAGACACGGUCCAGACUCCUACGGGAGGCAGCAGUGGGGAAUAUUGGACAAUGGGCGCGAGCCUGAUCCAGCCAUACCGCGUGGGUGAAGAAGGCCUUCGGGUUGUAAAGCCCUUUUGUUGGGAAAGAAAAGCAGCAGGUUAAUACCCCGCUGUUCUGACGGUACCCAAAGAAUAAGCAACGGCUAACUUCGUG
rnacentral:rRNA from 1 species